rnacentral:rRNA from 1 species
ACCCUAUUAUUUUUAAUGUAAAAAAAUUUAAAAGCUUGAGUAAUGUUAGAUAUGAUCUUUAAACUCAAAGAAUUUGGCGGUAUUAUAAUCUUUUUAGAGGAAUUUGUCAUGUAAUUGAUAAUCCGCAUUAAACCUUACUUGUAUUAAUUUCUUGUAUAUCACUGUUUUGAUAAUAUUAUUAGGUAGAAUGAUUUUCAAGGUAUAAAAAUAAUUAAAAUUUCAAGUCAAGGUGCAGUUAUGUAUAAGUUGAAUGAUGAAUUACAAUAAAAUUUAUUUAUAAUGGAUUAAAUUAUUUAAAAAAUAAUAUGAAGGUGGAUUUAAAUGUAAUUUUGUAAAUAUUAAUAAAAUGAAUUUAUAGCUCUAUAAUAUGUACACAUCG